AACGAACGCUGGCGGCAGGCUUAACACAUGCAAGUCGAGCGCCCCGCAAGGGGAGCGGCAGACGGGUGAGUAACGCGUGGGAAUCUACCCAUCUCUACGGAAUAACGCAUGGAAACGUGUGCUAAUACCGUAUACGUCCUUCGGGAGAAAGAUUUAUCGGAGAUGGAUGAGCCCGCGUUGGAUUAGCUAGUUGGUGGGGUAAAGGCCUACCAAGGCGACGAUCCAUAGCUGGGAUGAGAGGAUGAUCCGCCACACUGGGACUGAGACACGGCCCAGACUCCUACGGGAGGCAGCAGUGGGGAAUAUUGGACAAUGGGCGCAAGCCUGAUCCAGCCAUGCCGCGUGAGUGAUGAAGGCCCUAGGGUUGUAAAGCUCUUUCACCGGUGAAGAUAAUGACGGUAACCGGAGAAGAAGCCCCGGCUAACUUCGUGCCAGCCGCCGCGGUAAGAC
rnacentral:rRNA from 1 species